UCUGGUCGUAGGGUACCAUUGCUAGAUGGUCACUUCGAUUAGUACAGGAAUUGGUUCCUGUGCUACCGGCUUAGGUUCGAACCUGCGAGGUCACACACAUUAGAGGUUUCUUUCUGAUCUGAUGGCUGAUUAUGAGUCUUAUGUGUCUGAGACUCUAUGAUUGAGAAUUAAGAUUCUCUGAUCAUGAGUUCCACAUAUUUUGGGUACCGGGGUCAAAAUUUUUAAUUUCAAAUUUUGAAUUUGAAAUUUGAACUCUUUGAUCAGGGUUUC
rnacentral:lncRNA from 1 species